rnacentral:rRNA from 1 species
UCCUACGGGGGGCAGCAGUGAGGAAUAUUGGUCAAUGGGCGCAAGCCUGAACCAGCCAAGUCGCGUGAGGGAAGACGGCCCUACGGGUUGUAAACCUCUUUUGCCGGGGAGCAAGCCUGAGCACGUGUGCCCAGGCGGAGAGUACCCGGAGAAAAAGCAUCGGCUAACUCCGUGCCAGCAGCCGCGGUAAUACGGAGGAUGCGAGCGUUAUCCGGAUUUAUUGGGUUUAAAGGGUGCGCAGGCGGGAGAUCAAGUCAGCGGUAAAAUGUCGGGGCUCAACCCCGGCCGGCCGUUGAAACUGGGUU